rnacentral:piRNA from 1 species
CAAGAUUGCAGAGCUGAAGUUACGGG